AAGAAAGGGGAGUAAUUUCUGACAUAGAUGAAAUCCUAGGGUUUUGUAUGUAAUUCUCGCUAGAUAUAACCCGAUUUCUACUCGAACAGAAUCAGAAGCAGCCCAAAAUCGAUUCAAUCGAAGAGGUGCUGGGUGACACAACAGCGGAACUACUUACGACAAAAAUGCCUCUAUAUGAUUGCAUGCUUUUGCUAAAACCCCAUGUACAGAAGGAAGCUUUGUUGGAUUUAGUUGCUCGGGUUGGGAAACAUGUUUGUAGGAAAAAUGGUGUCAUCACUGAUAUGAAAGCAUUCGGACCUGUUCAACUGGGUUAUGGCAUUAAAAAACUUGAUGGAAGAUACUAUCAGGGCCAACUGAUGCAAAUGACAAUGAUGACGCCGCCUAAUUUCAAUGAUGAGCUGCAUUAUUUGAACAAGGAAGACCGGUUGCUGCGAUGGCUUUUGGUUAAGCACCGAGAUAUCAAGUAUGGGUUGGAAUUUCUGAGUGAAGAAGAUGGAAAAAGUGAGUUAAGCAGGUUUCGGAUCAACUUAUAUGAAGAAGAAGAUGACGAUGACGAUGAAGACGACGAUGACGAUGAAGACGUAGUCAAAAAAGGGGAAGAAAUUGAUGAGAACAACAACGACGAGUAUGAAGUCAAAGAAUGGGAGAGGAGCAAAAACUGAACGGGGACAAAUAUCACCAUUUUAGUUACAAGUUUAAGGAGAUGAAUACUCUUUGGGUGCCUGUGUAUGUUGUCAAUAACCCAGUGAAGACUAGUAGAAUGUCAAUUUAGCUUUUCUUGUAGGUAAAAGAAGAGAGAACUCAAGGAAAAUGUCAAUUGGAACUGUCAUCUGAAUGAUGAGGCUCGACUUUGUUGUACCUUUGAGGUUUGAGAUCCGAAAUAAUGACUUGCUUGCAGCAUUCAUAUUCUCAAGCUUGUUGCCUUUCCUGAAACUGUCCCAACUUAUAUUUUAUGUUUCUCUCUCGGUAGAUUUUCUACAUAUGGAUGAUAUCUGAUUCCCAAGAGUUCAAUAAUAUAUGUUGGAAUGAUCUUUCUUUUUGUUCA